rnacentral:rRNA from 1 species
UGAGUACGAGACGCUACGGCGUUGAAGCAGUGUAUGUCAGACUUCCAAGAAAAGCUCGCAAUGUCAUAAACAAAUAAUGCCUGUACCAUAACCGACACAGGUGGGUAGGUAGAGUAUACUAAGGGGCGCGAGAUAACUCUCUCUAAGGAACUCGGCAAAAUGACUCCGUAACUUCGGGAGAAGGAGUGCCUUAUUUUUAUAAGGUUGCAAUAACAAGAUCCAAGCAACUGUUUACCAAAAACACAGGUCUCCGCUAAGUCGUAAGACGAUGUAUGGGGGCUGACGCCUGCCCAGUGCCAGAAGGUUAAAGAAGUUGGUUAGCAAUAGCGAAGCUGAUAACUGAAGCCCUGGUGAACGGCGGCCGUAACAAUAACGGUCCUAAGGUAGCGAAAUUCCUUGUCGGGUAAGUUCCGACCCGCACGAAAGGCGUAAUGAUUUGGAUGCUGUCUCGGAGAGGGGCUCGGUGAAAUAGACUUGUCUGUGAAGAUGCGGACUACCUGCACCAGGACAGAAAGACCCUAUGAAGCUUUACUGUAACUUGAAAUUGAAAUUGGACUUUACUUGCGCAGUAUAGGUGGGAGGCGUUGAUUUUAUUCUUGCGGGAAUUUAGGAGCCAUCAGUGAGAUACCACUCUGGUAUGUUAGAUUUCUAACUUUGUAUCAUAAUCUGGUCAAAGAACAGUUUCAGGCGGGCAGUUUGACUGGGGCGGUCGCCUCCCAAACGGUAACGGAGGCGUACAAAGGUUUCCUCUGAACGUGUAGAAAUCGUAUCUAGAGUGUAAAGGCAUAAGGAAGCUUGACUGUGAGACCUACAAGUCGAGCAGGGACGAAAGUCGGUCUUAGUGAUCUGACGGUGCUGAGUGGAAAGGCCGUCACUCAACGGAUAAAAGUUACCCUAGGAUAACAGGCUGAUCUCCCCCAAGAGUUCACAUCGACGGGGAGGUUUGGCACCUCGAUGUCGGCUCAUCGCAUCCUGGGGCGGUAGUACGUCCCAAGGGUUGGGCUGUUCGCCCAUGAAAGCGGUACGCGAGCUGGGUUCAGAACGUCGUGAGACAGUUCGGUCCAUAUCCGGUGUAGGCGUUAGAAUAUUGAGAGGAUCCUUCUUUAGUACGAGAGGACCGAGAAGGACAUACCUCUGGUGUACCAGUUAUCGUGCCAACGGUAAACGCUGGGUAGCUAUGUAUGGAAAGGAUAACCGCUGAAAGCAUCUAAGUGGGAAGCCUACCUCAAGAUAAG